GCGGAGAAUACAGAGCGUGGUUGAUAUUCCACCAAAUGGAUAAGAGGCAGACAAAGUUUGGCACAUUUAUGCUUUCAGUGGUUGACGGACAUGAAUGACGCAGUUUUUAGGGUAGUAAGGUAACACAAAUGAAUAACUCAGUAUUAAUUAUCCACUGUGCGAAAUCUCCACAAAGGCACAAGUCUGCAUGACGAUUUUUGCGUAAAGCAAGGAAGCGCGGGAGAGCGGACUUGUAGCCUGGCAGGCGCCAGCAGCGACGCCAUCCCUCUACCUACCAAAUCGAGAAGCAUUCCUAACCCUCAGUGCUUGUGUGACGGGUGGUGGGGGCGAAGAAGAUGGAUGAGGAUUUCCUGAGCAGUACUCUGACUGCCUCUGAAUCAGACCUGUCCUCGUCCUCUUUCUUGACAUUAGAGGCGAAGGCAGCCUUCAUCUUUGUCCUCAUUCUCUUCCUCGUCCUGGGUCUCCUGAUUGUGCGCUGCUUCCGUAUCUUACUCGACCCUUACCGCAGCAUGCCCUCCUCUACCUGGACUGACUACAUGGAGAAGGACACCUUUGAUUACCGUAUUGCCUGAGGGGUCCUUCCUUAUCAAAGGCUUCUGCAUUGCCUGAGCGGCUGGUGACCAGAGCGGUUGCAUCCAAGAGAACUAACUAAGAGAACUUCAACGUGUCAGCACAAUGAAAAACCUUUGCUUGAGGAGCUCUACUAUGAGGCAGGGACAACGGCAGUGGGAGGUUAUUGACCUCUGCCACAAGGGGAUCACAGUGUUUCCUGAGCCUUUAAACAUUUCAGAUAUACUGCAAUGCCAGAGGGGUCCUUCACUGGGGCUACAAGGGUAGCUGGUGUAUUGCCCGAGGGACAGUCUACAGUAGCUGAAAAAGAAAAUCUGUUUUCCUCUUGGAACAGGGGGAGCCUCCUGAAGCAAGCGAUAUAACUAAUCCAGUGACUGAGCACAGCUUAAUCACAGAGAAGUCCGUCUUUUUGUACACAGGCCUUUCAGAUUUGUCUUCUAAAAUGGCCUAGGUUGACUGUACUUAGUCAGUCAGUCAGUCACACACACACACACAAUCAUACUACACCGGCUCCGACGCUCGUCUUAUGUGGCAGGUCUUGCAAACUAUCAGACUACAAAGGGAAGCACAGCCGCGAGCUGCCCAGUGACACGAGCCUACCAGAUGAGCUAUGCUCACUUCGAGGCAAGCAACACUGAGGAAUGCAUGAGAGCACCAGCUGUUCCAGACGACUGUGUGAUCACGCUCUCCGUAGCCGACGUGAGUAAGACCUUAAACAGGUCAACAUACACAAGGCUGCGGGUCCAGACGGAUUACCAGGACGUGUGCUCUGGGCAUGUGCUGACCAACUGGCAGGUGUCUUCACUGACAUUUUCAACAUGUCCCUGAUUGAGUCUGUAAUACCGAUAUGUGUCAAGCAGACCACCAUAGUCACUGUGCCCAAGAACACAAAGGCAACCUGCCUAAAUGACUACAGACCUGUAACAUUCACGUUCAUAGGCAUGAAGUGCUUUGAAAGGCUGGUAAUGACUUACAUCAACACCAUUAUCCCAGAAACCCUAGACAUACCCCAAUUUGCAUACCGCCCAAACAGAUCCACAGAUGAUGCAAUCUCUAUUGCACUCAACACUGCCCUUUCCCACCUGGACAAAAGGAACACUUAUGUGAGAAUGCUAUUCAUUGACAAUAGCUCAGCAUUCAACACCAUUGUACCCUCAAAGCUCAUCACUAAGCUAAGGAUCCUGGGACUAAACACCUCCCUCUGCAACUGGAUCCUGAAAUUCCUGACGGGCCUCCCCAAGGUGGUGAGGGUAGGUAGCAACACAUCUGCCACGCUGAUCCUCAACACUGGAGCCCCCCAGGGGUGAGUGCUCAGUACCCUCCUGUACUCACCCACGACUGCAAGGCUAGGCACAACUCCAUCAUUACGUUUGCAGACGACACAACAGUGGUAGGCCUGAUCACCGACAAUGACGAGAGCCUAUAGGGAGGAGGUCAGAGACCUGGCCGGGUGGUGCCAGAAUAACAACCUAUCCCUCAACGUAACCAAGACUAAGGAGAUGAUUGUGGACUACAGGAAAAGGAGGACCGAGUAUCCCCACAUUCUCAUCGACGGGGCUGUAGUGGAGCAGGUUGAGAGCUUCAAGUUCCUUGGUGUCCACAUCACCAACAAGCUAGAAUGGUCCAAACACACCAAGACAGUCGUGAAGAGGCACGACAUAGCCUAUUCCCCCUCAGGAAAAUAAAAAGAUUUGGCAUGGGUCCUGAGAUCCUCAAAAGGUUCUACAGCUGCAACAUCGAGCAUCCUUCCUGUUUGUAUCACUGCCUGGUAUGGCACUUGCUCGGCCUCCGACCGCAGGGCAAUACAGAGGGUAGUGCGUACGGCCCAGUACAUCACUGGGGCUAAGCUGCCUGCCAUCCAGGACCUCUACACCAGGCAGUGUCAGAGGAAGGACCUAAAAUAGUCAUAGACUAUUCUCUCUACUACCGCAUGGCAAGCGGUACCGGAGUGCCAAAUCUAGGACGAAAAGGCUUCUCAACAGUUUUUACCCCCAGGCCAUAAGACUACUGAACAGCUCCCCUGGGAUGUCACUGAUCACCAUAAUAAUGAUGGAAGCCCCCAGCAACAAACCAG